rnacentral:misc_RNA from 1 species
GAUGAAGAACGCAGCGAAAUGCGAUAAGUAAUGUGAAUUGCAGAAUUCAGUGAAUCAUCGAAUCUUUGAAAGCACAUUGCGCCCCUUGGUAUUCCAUGGGGCAUGCCUGUUCGAGCGUCAUUUGUACCUUCAAGCUCUGCUUGGUGUUGGGUGUUUGUCUCGCCUCUGCGUGUAGACUCGCCUCAAAACAAUUGGCAGCCGGCGUAUUGAUUUCGGAGCGCAGUACAUCUCGCGCUUUGCACUCAUAACGACGACGUCCAAAAGUACAUUUUUACACUCUUGACCUCGGAUCAGGUAGGGAUACCCGCUGAACUUAAGCAUAUCAAUAAGCGGAGGA